rnacentral:misc_RNA from 1 species
AGGUUCAGAUCACUGAAGCUGUGGAUGGUAUUGAGACUCUAUGGGCUGGAAAAGCUUCAAGCUUACAUAAGAAACCAUAUAGAACUAGCAAAGCUAUUUGAGGAACUUGUUGCUCAAGACAAGAGGUUUGAGAUUGUCACCCCUCGGAAGUUCUCAUUGGUUUGUUUUCGCCUACUUCCACCCCCGAGUAAUGAAGAUUAUGCCAACAAACUGAACCAUGACCUGCUAGAUUCUGUCAACUCAACUGGAAAACUGUUUAUUUCUCACACGCUUCUUUCAGAUAGAUACAUACUACGCUUUGCAAUAGGGGCUCCACUGACAGAAGCGAGGCACAUCGUUGGAGCUUGGAAAGUUUUACAAGAUGAGGCUGCUACAUUGUUAAGUAAAUGUUAAUAUUAAUCCAUUAUUUCACGUCAUUAUUAAUUUACCACAUUAUUG